AGACGGAGGGGGCUAGCGUUGUUCGGAAUUACUGGGCGUAAAGCGCGCGUAGGCGGAUUGGUCAGUUGGGGGUGAAAUCCCGAGGCUUAACCUCGGAACUGCCUUCAAAACUGCCAGUCUUGAGUCCGGGAGAGGUGAGUGGAAUUCCUAGUGUAGAGGUGAAAUUCGUAGAUAUUAGGAAGAACACCAGUGGCGAAGGCGGCUCACUGGCCCGGUACUGACGCUGAGGCGCGAAAGCGUGGGGAGCAAACAGGAUUAGAAACCCCAGUAGUCC
rnacentral:rRNA from 1 species